rnacentral:rRNA from 1 species
GACGAACGCUGGCGGCGUGCUUAACACAUGCAAGUCGAACGGCAGCACGGACUUCGGUCUGGUGGCGAGUGGCGAACGGGUGAGUAAUGUAUCGGAACGUGCCCAGUAGCGGGGGAUAACUACUCGAAAGAGUAGCUAAUACCGCAUACGCCCUACGGGGGAAAGGGGGGGAUCGCAAGACCUCUCACUAUUGGAGCGGCCGAUAUCGGAUUAGCUAGUUGGUGGGGUAAAGGCCCACCAAGGCGACGAUCCGUAGCUGGUUUGAGAGGACGACCAGCCACACUGGGACUGAGACACGGCCCAGACUCCGACGGGAGGCAGCAGUGGGGAAUUUUGGACAAUGGGGGCAACCCUGAUCCAGCCAUCCCGCGUGUGCGAUGAAGGCCUUCGGGUUGUAAAGCACUUUUGGCAGGAAAGAAAUCGCAUGGGUUAAUACCCUGUGUGGAUGACGGUACCUGCAGAAUAAGCACCGGCUAACUACGUGCCAGCCGCCGCCGUAA